rnacentral:rRNA from 1 species
UACGGAGGUCUCAAGCGUUGUUCGGAUUCAUUGGGCGUAAAGGGUGCGUAGGUGGCGAGGUUAGUCAGGUGUGAAAUCUCGGGGCUCAACCCCGAAACUGCACUUGAUACUGCCUUGCUAGAGUACUGGAGAGGAGAUUGGAAUUUACGGUGUAGCAGUGAAAUGCGUAGAUAUCGAUAAGGAAGACCAGUGGCGAAGGCGAAUCUCUGGACAGUUACUGACACUGAGGCACGAAGGCCAGGGGAGCAAACGGG